CUAACAUCGGCUCCGUCUGGAUCCCAAGGCAAAAAGCAUGGGAUUUUCGAGGAAGAGGCAGCACGACUGGUCAUUGGAGAAGACGAAUCAGGCACUUUUAUGGUAGCUUGCACUGGUCACACCAUUUGUUCAUGUAUUCCCUGCUGCAAAUUCUAUCCCAUGAUUGGGAGGAAUGCUAUCGAGUAUGUCAUGGUCCAUCCAACAAUUUUUUUAUUGGGAAUUCUGUGUACCAACUUCCAACUAGGAGUGGUAUUUUUUAUUGACUCCAGCAUGACUAAGAUCUUAUAUUUGUGUACGAGGGACAAACGGGAGAGAAGAGAGGAGUUCCCCACCGGACAUGAAAAUAGAUUGAGGGGCAGCCAGCGACCUGGGAGGAUAUUGAGCAUUGUGGACCUAAGAAGGGUGCUUAUCCAGGAGGGGAUCUCCAGGUUGGAGCUUAUGCAACCCUCUUGAACUUUAGUAAAUCUUUCAAUCUAUCCAACAUCUCUCAAGAUGACCUUAUGUUACUCCUAUGCUUGGGGAAGAUAUGGAGUCUUCUGUCAGGACCAGUUGGACAUCGUCGCCCCCGGAACUGAUUGUCUGGAGCAUUUUAGACAUAAAGUUUAUAUAGUCUCAGUUGGCAUAAACCAUACUUAUCAAAUCCCGAGGAAUACUUCUCAAGUGUUAUUUAUGUACGUUUUCUCCGAGCCUACAAAUGUUAAUUGUUUCAUGAUAUGUGACCCCAAUUUUUAUUUCUUAAUCUGUAACUUAGUUCAGCCAUUUACGUGUAAAUGUUCUUUCAUGCCUGAAAAACAAAUAGAGAAAACUAUUCCUUACGUAAUUUGUAAGUAGACACAAGGUCUUGAAUAGUAGUUCAUAUGUUGCAUGAAGAGUCGUUAGUUCAGAUACAUAAUUUGGCAAUGCAGAUCUAUAGGUAAAUUAGAAUGUGCAAUGUUUAUACAUUUUGUUGUUGUUGGUAUUUUCACUUAAUUAUAAAGUCAGAAUGAUUAAGACAAUGUUACUUUUGGUGCAUGUGGUACACAGUGCCGUAGCUAGCAUAUAGUUAAUGCCUUAAUGGUGUCAAAUGACACCAAUGGAUUCUUACAAAUCCUUUGUAGAAAUAGUCAAGUGCUCUUGUAAGAAAUGACACCACCAUAGUUUAAAGAGUGACACCGAUGCUAUUUUGUUGUAGCUUUACGCUGAUACAUAGAUGGUUAUCCCAGUUUACUAGAAAACCGUUCAACGGAUCAUGAGAAGUAUUUGUACAAGAUUAGCAUCUUGAGUUUAUGUUGGUUGAAGCAUUGAAUGAAUUUAAGAGUUUAUUGGUAUUUUAGAUUUAAGCUUUUCAUUGGUUAGUGUGUUUGCUAGGAGGUGAGCCAAGCUAAUGGGUUACUAACUAUAUCAGAUUUUCCAAGUUAUUGAUGCUCACAGAUACUUGAUGUUAGCAAGGCUGGCAUAGGCGAGCUCCGACUUCAACAAUGCUCUGACUGUGAGCUAGCAAGCAGCACAAUGCUAAGUACAGUACAUGUCCAAAGUCUCAUAGAAGGUUUGUAAACAACUUUUCUUUAUACUCUCCUUCUAGCUAUUUAUCUUAAGAUCGAUGCUGGACUAGAAACUGAGCACAGCCUGGGCAUUUACUUUUCAUCAGAUAGAUUUCAUAUCCCCCGACUGGCUCUCCUAAUAUUCAUUAUUAUGAGAUCAUCACGCAGGUCUGGAUACCACUUUGUUGAGUUUCAGCUUGUGUUAUAACUUAUGACGCUCAGUUUUUGUCCUUAACACGUUGAAAUAAAUGUGUUUUUUGGGUAAGUAAAGUUGUCGCGAAAUUUUAUCCGAUGUUGAUGAAGCUUAUUAUCAUCCUCAGUUCAAAAAUAUGAUACUAUAGGACUUAAGAUAUUCCAUACUAUAUAGGAUUAGCAAAUUAGCAAAGUUUUCUUGAUUGAAAAGCUUGCGUCUAGAUUCCGAGUUAUGUCAAGCGCACAGUUAGUGGGAGUUUUUAUCUACGGACAGAUUCCUUCAUCAAGGAAGUAACAAACAAAAUGCAGGUCUCUAAUGUUAGUACAGUUACUAUUCUUGAUUUAAAUGAAGGAAUAUACUAUAGAAGUGUAGAAGUGUGAUAAUUUUGAUUAGUAAAGCCUUCAUCUAUUUCCCUAUUUUUCCCUGGUGGGUUCUGUAAGAUGGCGACAUGCAGUGAAUCUUGGUGCUCGUCAGGCUGCAACGAGUAUUUGUUUUUGUCAACAACGAUACCCAUGGUCAGAACUUAUAUGUGCCAUUAGCUUUUCAUUUGACACAGAUUUAGAGUUGCGUGCAUGUUCAAUUUAUUUUUCACUUGACUUGUUAUUCAGAGUUAGCCUUAACUUUCUGAAACAGUUUUGAACAAAAUAAUGUGUAUGUCCACUACUACACUUUUUAAUUCUUGUCAGCUGGACAACUUGGGCAACAGAUUUCUGUUGCUGCCUUUCUUUUCUGCAGUUAACUUUGCUCACGGAGAAGUCGGUCCUUGUCAAUCAAGGGACGCCAAAUGUGUGUUAGUGAGGAGGCAUCCACGUGUCAUAUCGCCAAUGUGAUGACCACAGUCUGGUGGUCACAAUGGUCCGUCCACAGACAUUUGCAACACCUGAUGGAAGCACGACUGCCGCAUGACACACAAAUACAGCCAUGGCGGAGUACAUGUUGAACAAAGGCUCCACAUUUAAAUCUUUUUCAUUUGUGUAAGAUGUCAGCUAUAUAUUUUACUUAUCAAGCAAGAGAACGGAUUGUGGUUACAAAUUUAAGUUUGUGGAUUCAUUUGGCCUCAAGUGAAAUGUUUCGAGGACAAAUGGUACCCACCGUCUAUAUCUAGAGAUCGCAAGAGUAUUCUAGACAUCCGAGCGGUUGUAGAUAUAUCUUGCCAUUUUGAAAACUAAGAU